rnacentral:rRNA from 1 species
AUUGAACGCUGGCGGCAUGCCUUACACAUGCAAGUCGAACGGUAACAGGUCUUCGGACGCUGACGAGUGGCGAACGGGUGAGUAAUGCAUCGGAACGUGCCCAGUCGUGGGGGAUAACUGCUCGAAAGAGCAGCUAAUACCGCAUACGACCUGAGGGUGAAAGCGGGGGACCGUAAGGCCUCGCGCGAUUGGAGCGGCCGAUGUCAGAUUAGCUAGUUGGUGGGGUAAAGGCCUACCAAGGCAACGAUCUGUAGUUGGUCUGAGAGGACGACCAGCCACACUGGGACUGAGACACGGCCCAGACUCCUACGGGAGGCAGCAGUGGGGAAUUUUGGACAAUGGGCGCAAGCCUGAUCCAGCAAUGCCGCGUGCAGGAAGAAGGCCUUCGGGUUGUAAACUGCUUUUGUCAGGGAAGAAAUCUUAUGGGCUAAUACCCCGGGAGGAUGACGGUACCUGAAGAAUAAGCACCGGCUAACUACGUG